GAUGAACGCUGGCGGCGUGCUUAACACAUGCAAGUCGAACGGAAAGGCCCAAGCUUGCUUGGGUACUCGAGUGGCGAACGGGUGAGUAACACGUGGGUGAUCUGCCCUGCACUUCGGGAUAAGCCUGGGAAACUGGGUCUAAUACCGGAUAGGACCACUUCUUGGAUGUUGUGGUGGAAAGUUUUUUCGGUGUGGGAUGAGCUCGCGGCCUAUCAGCUUGUUGGUGGGGUAAUGGCCUACCAAGGCGUCGACGGGUAGCCGGCCUGAGAGGGUGUACGGCCACAUUGGGACUGAGAGACGGCCCAGACUCCUAAGGGAGGCAGCAGUGGGGAAUAUUGCACAAUGGGCGCAAGCCUGAUGCAGCGACGCCGCGGGGGGGAUGACGGCCUUCGGGUUGUAAACUCCUUUCGCUAGGGACGAAGCGUUUUGUGACGGUACCUGGAGAAGAAGCACCGGCUAACUACGUG
rnacentral:rRNA from 1 species